rnacentral:rRNA from 1 species
CAAACCGACACAGGUAGUCAAGAUGAGAAUUCUAAGGUGAGCGAGCGAACUCUCGUUAAGGAACUCGGCAAAAUGACCCCGUAACUUCGGGAGAAGGGGUGCUCUUUAGGGUUAACGCCCAGAAGAGCCGCAGUGAAUAGGCCCAAGCGACUGUUUAUCAAAAACACAGGUCUCUGCUAAACCGUAAGGUGAUGUAUAGGGGCUGACGCCUGCCCGGUGCUGGAAGGUUAAGAGGAGUGGUUAGCUUCUGCGAAGCUACGAAUCGAAGCCCCAGUAAACGGCGGCCGUAACUAUAACGGUCCUAAGGUAGCGAAAUUCCUUGUCGGGUAAGUUCCGACCCGCACGAAAGGCGUAACGAUUUGGGCACUGUCUCAACGAGAGACUCGGUGAAAUCAUAGUACCUGUGAAGAUGCAGGUUACCCGCGACAGGACGGAAAGACCCCGUGGAGCUUUACUGUAGCCUGAUAUUGAAAUUCGGCACAGCUUGUACAGGAUAGGUAGGAGCCUUUGAAACGUGAGCGCUAGCUUACGUGGAGGCGCUGGUGGGAUACUACCCUAGCUGUGUUGGCUUUCUA